CCUAGGGAGGCAGCAGUGGGGAAUAUUGGACAAUGGGCGAAAGCCUGAUCCAGCCAUGCCGCGUGUGUGAAGAAGACCUUCGGGUUGUAAAGCACUUACAGUGGGGAAGAAAGCCUUGGGGCUAAUACCCUCGAGGAAGGACAUCACCCACAGAAGAAGCACCGGCUAACUCCGUGCCAGCAGCCGCGGUAAUACGGAGGGUGCGAGCGUUAAUCGGAAUUACUGGGCGUAAAGCGCGCGUAGGCGGUCUGAUAAGCCGGUUGUGAAAGCCCCGGGCUCAACCUGGGAACGGCAUCCGGAACUGUCAGGCUAGAGUGCAGGAGAGGAAGGUAGAAUUCCCGGUGUAGCGGUGAAAUGCGUAGAGAUCGGGAGGAAUACCAGUGGCGAAGGCGGCCUUCUGGACUGACACUGACGCUGAGGUGCGAAAGCGUGGGUAGCAAACAGGAUUAGAUACCCGGGUAGUC
rnacentral:rRNA from 1 species